CUGGGGUGGGGCGCGCCGGGAGCGGGGUAGGUCUUGCCACGCCUCCCGGGGGCCACCGCCGGCUGCGCGGCCCGGCCCACAGCGUGGAAAAACACCCCCGAGUUCCCUCCGACCUGGGGACCCGGCAGCCGGGGGUAGAGGGCGCCCCGACGCGGAGCUGGAAAGGGCGACCCUGCCUCCGCCCCCGGCCGCCGAGGGAAGCUCGUAUUUCCUAAGGUGCCGGCGCCCUCGGUGCUGCUGUGGGGUCCCCGGCCCUUUCCCGCGCACCCCAUGCCGGAGGGUGUGUCUGUGUGCUCGGGGGGGGGGGUGUGGCGAACAGGGGCGCCGCGUGCUGCCCCCGCCGCGCUACAGGAGGCGCAGGGAGCUUCCCGGAACCGCGGCCCGCCCCGCUCAGGUUUCGGUCCAGGUCACACACGCAGGGCGGUGAUGCGUGGCCCCCUGCACGGACCCAGUUUAAGGGCUUGGGAGAGGCUGCCGUGGGAGGUGACGGGGCGCUGGACGAGGGCCGGGGUUCCCGCCAGCAAAACCUGGUUUCGCUCUUUGCAGCCUUUAUCGGAACUGGUUAGGUGGCACCGCCCGGUUACAAAGUGUAUCUGCCCCGUCUCUUCCUAUAACCCCCAGCUUCGAGUCUGGGAUUCUCUGUCCCGCUGGGGAAGAAGGUGCAAACGCGUCUAGAGCGAUCUUCCUUCUCGAGUGGAAAGCGUUUUCUCGCGGCGAAGCCGGAAGGAAGUUCUAGGGAAACAGCGCCUCUCUCCGCGAAAUCCUCUCUACUGGACAUUGCCGAUACCCACCGAGAGGCGGCACACGCUCCCCCCUGCCCCGCGCCCCUGCCAGUACUUCUUGAGUAUCGGGACAUUUUGCGAGACAGCCCCGAGAGGGAGAGACGCUGUAACGCACCGACCCUCUCCAUCUCGGCGACCCGGACGUUGGACGUGCCAGGUGGAGCCCAGAUUCCAACGUCCUCGCUGAGUCCGCGUCCGGCCCCAUCCUGUCCCCAAGCUCGUCUCGGGCCCACGCACCCUCACACGCACACAAGGGCAAGGCUGCAGCGGAGCCGCUCGAAGACUCUCCGCGUUUCUCCUACGGAAAGUGAAUUGUUAUUCCCACCCAAGGAAGUCAUCUGAGAAUUGCCGGCGGACAGAGGCUAGCUGAGAUGAGAAGCAAGGCCCUCGCUGUGGGACCUUAACGCCCAUCACUUCUUUGUGCUUCUGGGCCCGCGGCGUUGGUGAUAACAAGGGGAUUGACAGACGCCCGAGACUUUAGUAAAAGCGAGCCCAACUAGCAAAUUAAACGCUGACGACUGAUUGGAGACACUGAGCCAUCCCCCCAAUUAUUUUAAGUACUAGAGUGCAGCGGCAUGAAUGACGCGGGGCGAGUACCAUUUCCAAGUGGUCUCAGGGCUGGACCACCCCCCGACCCUGGUCCAGGGGACUGGGCUUCUUCUGCUCUUGCAGGAGGGCGCGCUGCCUGGACCGACCCUGCUGCCCUGACUCGGUAGAUGCAGCCCGCGCCCAGGCGGGGAGAAGCCCGGCUGGCCUGGCCGCGGACUCCGUGGAAUUUGGCCGGGACUCAAAAGCAGAUUAUCCCAGUCUCGGCUGAAACUGUAGCAUCAGCUCCCUUCGCCUUUUCUCUGGGAACCAGAUUGGCCUGGUUGUUGCCUCUGAUCAUAACGUGAGAGACGUCUCUCCUCUAUCUGUUGUCUCUGACCAACGAAGGAUGAUCUUUAUAAGCAAUUUUAAAAAUAGAAACAUGGAACCACCCCCUUGAUGAGCUAAUGAAAACCACACCUAAUCUUCUGGGAACUAAGUAUUAGCCUUACUUCCUACACAGAGGUCUUCCAAAUAUAGUUGCAUUUCAGGGAGCUGGUGAAAUGGCUGCUGCAGCGGGGUUCUCUCUGGCUGUUCAUUGCUUAUGCAGUAGCAGAGUUCACCUGGUGGGGUCGAUUAAGAGAUUUUACUCAAAUACAUUUUUAAAGUCUAGCAGAGAUUGGAUCUCGUGACCCGGAUUGCCAGAGAGAGAGGACAAUUGAAGAGAAAGAAAAAGUUUGCAGACUACUUGCAUUUUUCUCCAUCAAGACUUUGUUACACAGGCUUGCAAAAGCAAUACUGCUCAGCAUGCUAGAACAGUGAGGUUUAAACUUGCCAAGGAGAAACCACCGGAGCGGGAGUGUGCACAGCCGGAGGUGGCUGAUGAGAGCACGUGACAAAACAGCUCUGGAUGCUGUUUGCGCCCAACAAAAUGCACUUGAAAAUUGAGUUGCAAGGUUGCAGUGUACUUGAAGAGGCUUUCUCCACUGGCAGCUAUACAUAUUUACCCAUCAAGAGGUUUAAACAAUGACCUCUUUAAACUUCUGACAAUAACCUUCAGAUGAGAAACUGUACAGACACGUGAGUAAUCAAUUUAAAACCACUAUUACAAUCUUUAACUUUUUUGAACCGUUGAAAUUGUAUUUUAGAAGUCCAGUAGGUCUUAUUUUUCUCAUUGACGGAGGUAAGUUUCUUAUGAUAAUGUGAGUGGAUUUCAGUGAUAAUUGAACUUUUUCAUAUUAAGUCUUUCUAAGUUACAAAGCUGUAAUUUGCAAAAUUUGCAUAUGCACUGUCAGAGAAUUUAGCUUGGAUGCCACUAAAAAGACACAGCAGAUGGAAGGAUGAAGCACCCAGGGGAGGAGAUUCAGGACCGCCAGACCCACCCUGUCCCCCCACUCCCAAGGCUGAUGCUCCUUGGACUUUGGCCCUGCUCCUCUGGUACCUGAAACACAAACUGCUUCCUCCAGCCCGGCCCGGGCCCCCUGCAGCUGCUGGCGAUGAACCUGCUGGCCUCUCGCUGCAUCUUGAGGUGGAUUAGGAUUCCAACAGAGCUGUGGGGACCACCACGUGUGCAACAUCACAUUCUGCUCUGCCGUCCCCGCCGCCCUGGCCACCGUACGGCAUCCCAGAGAAGAUUGCAGAGGCACCUGAAUGCCUUAAGGGAUCCGGGGGUAUCUAUAUUCCUGCCACAUCGGCAUGCAAGGCUUUCCCCUGCAGACCACCCAGAGGGCGGACAAGGAUGAAAGGGACAGUCCCCUCUGUCCUCAUCCCUCCUGUGUCUCUCCUCACCUUCUGUACUCACAACUUCUGCCAUCACUGUGCAAAGUGGGAACAGCAAGGAAGGAGGGCAAUGGGGCCCGGGGCAGAGAUGGAGACCUCACAUGGGGCAGAUGGGGGGAGAAAUCCCCUGCUUCCAGAUGCUCUCAGCUGUGGCCGUAGUUUAUCUCUGAAGGCCGUGUUUAAACUGGGCCUAGGUGUGAGUCAGACACCUUUUGUUCUCAUGUGCAGAGAGCUAAAACUCGGGUCUCUCAAAGAACCUACAUCACGCCGUUCUGUAUGAAAUGUAUUAUGUUUUUUUGUUCGUUGCUUUGUGCUGUGACUUCCCCAAAUGUGAGGUCCAUGAACCACACUUUGAAAACAGAAACUACUGCCCUGUGCUUCUCUCUUCCACCCCCCAAAUGGAAACUCCUGGUACAGCAUUUCUUAAUCUCGAGCUUCCGAGAUUACCACAUGGGUUGGGAUGCCCCCAGGAACUGUUCAAGGCUCUCUCCUCCGGCCAGUGCAAUAACUUUCAUUUUUCUCAUUUUUAGAGGGGGGGAAAAGGGGUCUGCAGUGGGGCUCCCCCAAACUGCAUGGGGCCAAAUGAUGGAGCAGUCCCUGAUGGAUUUGUGGAAAUAAUCUCCUAAGCUUCUCCCACGACUCCUUAUUAGCCAGAGUCCCCUCAUCCCAGGACCACACAUCACCUGCAAACACGAUGUGAGGGGGGACUACCGGCAACUUAUUGCUUGGGUGAGGCAAGGAAUUGUUUUAAAAAAUUAAGCACAGGCUGAUCUGCAAGUGUAAAUGUAAAGGUAGGAAAAAAAAAAACAAACCACCAGAAGAGCAUCCUCUCCAAAAACAAUCAUUACUAACCUCCUUUGAAACGGUGUUCUUCACACACUACAUGUUAGGAAAUUGGCCGGAUUAGUAUCUCAACAGCCUUUAAAAAAAGGUGUUUCAUGCUUAUUCUCACGUGAUUAGUUGAAACCAAGUGAGUUAAACACAUUUUGGGGUUUGCCGUUGCAGUUACAACACUAAGAACAAUUGCCAAGUUUCCUCUCAGCGUGUAUUGGGAAGACUUCUCCCCCUUCUUAACCAAAGCCCGGGAUUAAUGUUCAUGAGAACAUUUUUCUAAGUAUCAAGAUGCUUCGAUGGAUGGAUUGCAUAAUAAUGAAGCAUCCUGAUACGUUCCGACCGUAUUAAAAAUAAUGCUAGUAGCUGUCGUAUUUUAGGCACUAGCUGCGUCCCGAGCACUGUGCCCAUUGCUUUCCUGAGAUGGGCACUAGUGUCUCUUUUUUGCCAGUAGGAUUUACAUGACUUUAAAGAGGCUAACUGAUGUGUCCAAGGAAACCAGACGCUAAUCCACGUCUGAUCCCAAGUUCAAAGAAGCGAUGUCUUGCAUCUACCAGCAUGGGGUUAGAUGGACGCAGAAGCGCCUGGGUGCGUGGCUGGGUCUGCUGGUGCCACUCGGAGGAGAACAGGACUGAACCUCAGCCCGUUGGGAAAGGCCCCCCACUGCUUUCCCAUCUGGCCUCUCCUUUGCGGGAGGUUGGUCUUCCUUUUCAGGCUCUAGCCUCUGGCUCCCUUCUGCCACAUAUGAAUAAAUGUCAGACAUACCUCUACUGGGUCUUCAGCUGGACAAUCUAUUAUCUCUAACCAUGGGAGGAGAGGUUCUGAAAGCAUUUCAGCUGUCUCCCAGGGGGUAGAGAUGUGGAAGAGGGCUGAGCCCAGGAAAACUCAGAAAUAGAACGCUAGUUUUGCUUAGGCUUAAGGGAAACCAGCUUUAAUGUCUCUUGGGGUCUGUGGGAGCCCAGAGGGACUUCCUGCCCCCUCUCAGCCCGGUUCUGGGUGGGAUGAUGUGUGCUUAGAGGCACUGCUGGGGCUUAAGAGCGUCCUGAAAUGUUCUCACAGAUGCUGAGGGCGGAUGGACCGGCAGUUUUUCCCACUCACCCACCCAGCUCUGGCACAGAGCACAGCCCCCCGAGGCCAAGGCUCUCCCCAAAACAAGGGUCCUCACCCAAA